UGCGGGGUCGUCUAAUGGCAGGACUCUGGCCUUUGAAGCCAGCUAUCUAGGUUCAAAUCCUAGCCCCGCAG
rnacentral:tRNA from 1 species